AAUAUAGUUUCUACUGUAUAAAAAGAAUUUAUCAAAAGCUUACUCAUAAAUGUUGUCCCGAGGGUCUCGCUGAGGUGCUUCGGUUCUCAAUCGUAAAGAAAAGACGUCAAUGAAUUUAUUUCUAUUUUCAGUUAACAAAGAAACAGAUACCAAAGGCUUCAUACUUUGCGACAUCGUAAACCUUAGACUCCCAUUCUUCCUCUUCUUCACGUUUUCGUAAACUCAUGUCUGCUUCGGCAGAAGGAGGAGUCCUUUGAAUUCUACGGUCCCGUUAGAAAAUCCAUUGAAAGAGAAACAACUAAUUAGUUUUACCCAUCAUUAUUUAAUAAUGGUGUUUGUUCAUCAAUCUAUCAACUGUUAAAAUCAGUAAAAUAUCUUUGUACGAACAUCAUCGGAGUUAUUAAAUAAAAAAGAACAACAAUUCCCCAUUAUAAAGUAAGCCUGACUGUAGAAAGAAAAACUACUUUCAAAUAUAUCAGCAGUUUCGAUAAAAGUAGUAAUCUGUUGACGUUACCUUACCGUCAACUGGCCGCGUUUUGUUAGUAACGCAAAAUUCGAUUCGCUUCAUAAAGUCUGAAUAUGAAAAUGGGUGCACUAUAUAAACUAGGAAGGCUAAGUAAGAAUUCGAAUUUUUGAAAUUUUACAACUAAGGUUAAUCAGUAGCUAUUACUUCUCUUUUACUUUACUAGAUAACACAAUAAGUAUCGUCACCCGGUUCUCUAUAGGUAGUAAUAAUAGAAGUAGUAGUAU